GAUGAAGAACGCAGCGAAAUGCGAUAAGUAAUGUGAAUUGCAGAAUUCAGUGAAUCAUCGAAUCUUUGAACGCACAUUGCGCCCGCCAGUAUUCUGGCGGGCAUGCCUGUUCGAGCGUCAUUACAACCCUCAGGCCCCCGGGCCUGGCGUUGGGGAUCGGCAGAAGCCCCCUGUGGGCACACGCCGUCCCUCAAAUACAGUGGCGGUCCCGCCGCAGCUUCCAUUGCGUAGUAGCUAACACCUCGCAACUGAAGAGCGGCGCGGCCAUGCCGUAAAACACCCAACUUCUGAAUGUUGACCUCGAAUCAGGUAGGAAUACCCGCUGAACUUAAGCAUAUCAAUAAGCGGAGGA
rnacentral:misc_RNA from 1 species